GUCUACGGCCAUACCACCCUGAACACGCCCGAUCUCGUCUGAUCUCAGAAGCUAAGCAGGGUUGGGCCUGGUUAGUACUUGGAUAGGAGAAAAUGCACACACACACA
rnacentral:rRNA from 1 species